rnacentral:rRNA from 1 species
AGUGAACGCUGGCGGUAGGCCUAACACAUGCAAGUCGAACGGCAGCACAGUAAGAGCUUGCUCUUACGGGUGGCGAGUGGCGGACGGGUGAGGAAUACAUCGGAAUCUACUUUUUCGUGGGGGAUAACGUAGGGAAACUUACGCUAAUACCGCAUACGACCUACGGGUGAAAGCAGGGGAUCUUCGGACCUUGCGCGAUUGAAUGAGCCGAUGUCGGAUUAGCUAGUUGGCGGGGUAAAGGCCCACCAAGGCGACGAUCCGUAGCUGGUCUGAGAGGAUGGUCAGCCACACUGGAACUGAGACACGGUCCAGACUCCUACGGGAGGCAGCAGUGGGGAAUAUUGGACAAUGGGCGCAAGCCUGAUCCAGCCAUACCGCGUGGGUGAAAAAGGCCUUCGGGUUGUAAAGCCCUUUUGUUGGGAAAGAAAAGCAGCAGGUUAAUACCCCGCUGUUCUGACGGUACCCAAAGAAUAAGCACCGGCUAACUUCGUG